CUUGACCGAGCCCAGCCACAGCGGCCGGUCGGCCGGAUGCCCCUGCCCGUAGGUCGCCAGCAGGGCCUGCGCUUC
rfam:Streptomyces tsukubensis NRRL18488 Contig018, whole genome shotgun sequence.